rnacentral:rRNA from 1 species
GACGAACGCUGGCGGCGUGCUUAACACAUGCAAGUCGAACGGUGAAGCGCCUUCCUUUUUGGUGGGUGUGGAUGAGUGGCGAACGGGUGAGUAACACGUGAGUAACCUGCCCCCUUCUUCUGGAUAACCGCAUGAAAGUGUGGCUAAUACGGGAUAUUCUGGGUCUGUCGCAUGAUGGGUCUGGGAAAGAUAUUGUUUCGGUGGGGGAUGGGCUCGCGGCCUAUCAGCUUGUUGGUGGGGUGAUGGCCUACCAAGGCGGUGACGGGUAGCCGGCCUGGGAGGGUGGACGGUCACACUGGGACUGAGACACGGCCCAGACUCCUACGGGAGGCAGCAGUGGGGAAUAUUGCACAAUGGGCGCAAGCCUGAUGCAGCGACGCCGCGUGAGGGAUGGAGGCCUUCGGGUUGUGAACCUCUUUCGCCAGUGAAGCAGGCCUGCCUCGUUUGUGGGUGGGUUGACGGUAGCUGGAGAAGAAGCGCCGGCUAACUACGUG